rnacentral:rRNA from 1 species
GUGAGGAAUAUUGGACAAUGGGCGCAAGCCUGAUCCAGCCAUGCCGCGUGCAGGAAGACGCAUCUAUGGUGUGUAAACUGCUUUUGUACGGGAAGAAACACUCCCUCGUGAGGGAGCUUGACGGUACCGUAAGAAUAAGGAUCGGCUAACUCCGUGCCAGCAGCCGCGGUAAUACGGAGGAUCCAAGCGUUAUCCGGAAUCAUUGGGUUUAAAGGGUCCGUAGGCGGUUUAAUAAGUCAGUGGUGAAAGCCCAUCGCUCAACGAUGGAACGGCCAUUGAUACUGUUAGACUUGAAUUACAAGGAAGUAACUAGAAUAUGUAGUGUAGCGGUGAAAUGCUUAGAUAUUACAUGGAAUACCAAUUGCGAAGGCAGGUUACUACUUGUGGAUUGACGCUGAUGGACGAAAGCGUGGGGAGCGAACAGGAUUAGAAACCCCUGUAUCC